UACGUAGGUCGCAAGCGUUGUUCGGAUUUACUGGGCGUAAAGAGCGCGCAGGCGGCUGGUCAAGUCCGAUGUGAAAUCUCCCGGCUCAACUGGGAAACUGCAUCGGAAACUGAUCGGCUUGAAGAUGGGAGAGGGUAGUGGAAUUCCCGGUGUAGUGGUGAAAUGCGUAGAUAUCGGGAGGAACACCAGUGGCGAAGGCGACUACCUGGCCCAUUCUUGACGCUGAGGCGCGAAAGCUAGGGGAGCGAACGGG
rnacentral:rRNA from 1 species